rnacentral:lncRNA from 1 species
CCUCCUGCACCUCCAUGUCUCUGUGUGUCCACACAUCCCUGCCUACUGCUUCCCAUCCCUGAUUCUAGACACCGGUUUAGCUACAGGAGACAAGAAUCACUUCCAAAGGAAGAUGUUGAAUUCAGGCAACAGAAUGGCACAUUUUCUUGGUAACCAGGCGGAUGAUAUGCUAAUGCAAGCUGGCAGACUUGAUCUCAAACUACAAAAAUACGCUCUGCCACGUGGAGGGGACAAAGGAGGAAAGAGACUUCAAGGCUAUCCUUUUGACUCGGGUUUCCAUUUUUGUCGAGAAGCACACAGCAAGUGCUCAACAAGGAGAUUUGGUAUUCAGAGGAGACCCACAGUGACCAUUAGGAUUUUAAACCACCAUGAGCAGUAAUUCUUCUCAUUUAAAAUAAAUGUCCUCUAAGCUUUUUUAGUAACACACUUUAUGAGACUCCGCUAGUUUCUCGUGCUGUUUCAGACAGCUCUGGGUAAGCAGGAGAUGCUGAAUCCAGUGAGGCAGAAAAGUCAGAAUUUGCCUUUUCUCAAAAUCCAUCUUGGCCCCAACUUGGCUGCAUCUUGCUUCUGAGUCAUAUAGCAAGGGUUCGUUGAAGGUCACCGCAAUGCCCUGGACUACUUUGGAGUUUCAAUGUAUUGCUGUUGAAAUAAUUUUUAAUCUCUUCCUGUCAGCUGGCCAGAUGAUACAAUAAUAUUACCCUGUGUUGCCUCACAAGUGAUUAAAGAACAAGAGCACAGCAAGUCCUGCUUCCCAGCCCUCUCACAGGAGAGCAUAGAGGCUUCUGCAGGGAGAACGAGCCUUCUGCAACAUACAGAUAUUCCCAGAAAGACAAUUCACAAAGCAGUUUAUUAGUGCCUGUGUUUUCAAGGCACUGCUGAGCGGAAUGCCAGGGCCAUUGGCUCCUGUUUUAUUAAGGUUCUUGUCUAUCUGACUCAGACUCACAAAUUUUCUGGCCACAGACUUGGAAUUUACUGUAAAGUGAGUCAUCCGGUAUGAACCAAUGAAAAUUCUCCAGGCAAAUUCAGUUCAGACUCUGAGUUGUUAUUUUUAUUCUAAAAUGGUCUUUUUCUUUAUUAUCUGGAAACUCAUCAGUUAGGUGAGUCUGAGUGAGUCUGUGUUAAGAGGCUAAAAUUAAUAAAUCCAUCUGGGUAAUUUCAUGCCAAAAGCCACAACCUUCGGUUGAUAAAAAGGAAGAUGUUUCAUUUCAAUUGGAAGGUCACAGUCGGUCUGCUAAGCUGAUUUUGAAAACGAUAUGCUGAUAAGCAUAGGAAAGGGUAAAGAAAUUCCUUACAAAGCAAAAUGAAAAUAAGAAUUUCUUUUUUCAUCACACCAGAGGAAGAUUCAAAUUAAUGUCCUCAGAGAGAGGUCACUUUGAGAUACAGAGAAUCAAAGGUUGGCUACCAUAGGUUUAGUUUUUUAUAAUCUGCUUAUAACUAGUUACUUCCUUGAUCACUUCAGCACCUACAACUAUCUUGAGACAGUUUUUACCACUUUACAAUAAAAAUACUAGAAAUAAACAUUUUCUUUUAUUUUCAGUACUCUGGAAAGUCAAAUUUUAUUUGAGCCCAAACAACUAAAUUCUGACUCUAUCUUUUAAAGUGCUCCAGAGCCAAGACUCUAAGCCAUAGAGCCUUAUUGCUACAAUCAUGGUCAUCAGAUUACCUGUGGAGCUCUUGCUGAAUGGUGGAGCCAGGAAGGAGCAGCCACUGCAAUCUCUUUAUGUCUGUAGAGCUGUUGCUAAGCAGUACUACAGGCAGUGUCUAAAGGCCCAUCUCCAAGCCUGGAGUGUUCCAAACAACAUCUAUAAGAAGUCUCCAGAGCUGUGGCAUCCCAGUGAGAAUGGCUCUUGCAUUCAGGCUCCAACAAAAGUGUCCAGGCAGGAAGUUGAAAUGGAGGAAGUUAUGUUAGAAUGACUAUCCUCAUUACACAGAUGAGAAAAGUGAGUCAUG